CCUGUUCCCAAUCCGCCGUAGCUCUACGUGGAGGGACAGCUCUACCGCGACCCCGGCAUCACUCCAUGGCUGUAUUGACCGCACACCAGAUAAGAAUCCGAUACACUAUUCUCUUCGCUCACACUCUCAUGUAUUAACUUUUGCUUAACUAUGUAAUAUCAGUUUGCUACUUCAGUAUAACAUCACCGUCACUCUCCGUCAAUGCCUUAAUUUGAAUGUUUCCAAGAAAAAAGGUUAAAAAUAUUUAACCAACUUAAAAACCUACAGGCAGACAUUGUUUUAUUACAAGAGACUCACUGGCCUGUCACAGGUUUGAAUGAACUUAAAACACCUGAGUUUCCUAAUGUGUUUUCAGCCUGUUAUAAUUCUAGACAAAAAGGAGUAGCCAUUUUAAUACAGAAAAAUAUUAAUUUCACAACAUUUGAUACAGUUAUAGAUCCCGAGGGCAGAUUCCUAAUCCUUAAACUAUCUAUAUUUAAUCAAAAGCUAUGUAUUGUAAGUGUAUAUGGUUCAAAUGUUGAUGACCCCUCAUUCUUCCACAGAUUUUUUAGUGCACUCUCUCAACACCUAGAUUGCACACUUGUUCUUGGGGCCGACCUUAACCUGGGGUUAAAUGAAGAAAUCGAUAGGCUCAAUACAGCAGGAACUCAGUGCAAUUGGCAAUCCACAAAUAUAAUCAAACAGUAUAUAAGCAACCUUGGUCUUGCGAUGCAUGGCGCUCCCUUCACCCCAACAGUAUUGAAUAUACUUUCUUUUCACAUGUCCAUCACUCCUACUCUUGCCUGGAUUAUCUCCGAGUCAGCAGCUCACUGCUGAGUGACAUUUCAGACACUGAGAUUCACCCUAUACAGGGCUCGCAAAAUUCCCUUCCACUGCAACGAGGCGGUCUGCUUGAGAGAAGGGUUACAUCUCCUGGGUCUAGGUACGGUUUGCCCCUCUGGGGGCAGGGUACCGGGACCUGGGAUAUAGAGUAUGUUUGGGGAGUGUGAAUGUGUGUACAUUUUCUAUUUGUGUCUGUCUCCACGUCAGGUGAACGCCGAGUAUUUGUUUGUGUAUAUGGGGGUGGAAAGGCACGUUUGUGUCUGCGUGCGCCUGUUCAUCUGUGUCUAUAUGUCAGGUUGGGUCUUAGACUCCACCCCUCCGGGAACAUCUCAGGCUCUCCGGGGUAUAGAGACUUAUCUCCCCUCACCACACUCCAUGCCGGUGACUGAUGCCCUCAGACAUUGGUGUGUUGGUGGCUCUUGGUGUCUGGGGCUGGGUGCUCAUAUAUGUACCGCCUCACUCUUGGUGGCUGAUUGGCGGGGCCUGGCGCCUGUGGCUCGGCUGGGCCCCUUCCGGGGGGUGGGAUGCUCUCAGGCCUCUGGCCUCUGGGCCUGAGGCUCGGUCCUCUCUGGCACAGCCGGCAGAGCCGGCAGAGCCUGCGGGCACGUUCUGUUGAAAGCCGUACAUGUCCAACUAACGCAUGAAGUGUUAAGUACAUUCAUGGCAGAAGUAAUGGCAAUAAUGAAUGCAAGACCACUUGUACCAGUCUCAACAGAUCCAGACAAACCAAACCUUCUCACUCCAGCAAUGCUCCUUACACAAAAGGUCAAUGCAUUAUCUGCACCAACAGGAAGCUUUGGACCGCCAGACCUCUACUCAAAGCAAUGGAAGCAAGUACAGUGUUUGGCAGACUCUUUUUGGAAACAGUGGAAAAGUGAAUAUCUUUCAACACUACAGCCAAGGAGAAAAUGGACUGAUGAUAAAACAAACAUAAAAGUUGGUGAUGUUGUGCUAUUGAAAGAUGCUCUCGCACACAGAAAUGACUGGUCCAUGGGAAAAGUUGUAAGAACAUUUGAGAGCAAGGACAAUAAGGUUCGAAAAGCAGAAGUAAAGACUGUGAAAGAUGGAAAUGAAAAAGUGUUUUUGAGACCCAUCGCUGAUAUGGUUUUGCUUUUAUCAAGUGAUAAAUAAGUGUUUGAAAUAGCCCUAAACUGUUCAAAAUGUUUAUUAGAGAAGUUUCUUCUAGUGGCACAAUUAUAUUGUACCAGGCGGGGAGUGUUCUGCCUUUUGUAACUUAAAUCGGAUAUUAUAGUUGUAAGCUGCCCUAGAGCUCCCUCUAGUGGCUACUUUGGGUUCGGUUACUUUGGGAAAGGAAAAAAUGAGAACGUGAAGAAGAAAUAUAAGAUGGCGGAAAGUGAUACCGUAAUGUUAUCGUUCUAAGCUGAUACGGACCUUAAAAUGUUGUUGCCUUGGACAAGAUAUGUCUUUUUACGAUGGUCAAAGAGAAGGCAAUGGUCAGAGGCCAUUCUUCAAUAAAUCAGCGCAAAAAGGAAAAUAAGUCUGGUUAUUGGAGCAUCGUUAUCUCGCUGUCUAGCUGGUGAAUCUAAGAGACUCAGGGCGAGGACAGCACAAUGAUAUUAAUAUGAAAUCUUAAAACUGACAUGAAAGAUGUAUUUGAAUGAAUCAUCUCUGUGAAAGAUAAAGGAACAGACGCCCUGCUGCUAUGUGCACAACACGGACAGGAGGAACAAAUUAUUUUGUAUUUUUAUUUUUUUGUAUUUGGCUUGAUCCUGAAGUAUAAAUGGUAUGGGAAUAAAAUAUCUUAAUAUUGACCGAACUGCUUUGUUGUUGUUUCAGUUAGUCUCAGUCAGCCUGCACCCUUAUAAACUUGGCUGUUUGUUGCUUUGAAACCCUCUAUGCAUGAUUAGGUCAGUGGCUUUAUUGCUUCCUUUGGCCAACUUCUUGUCCCAGCAGGGUAUCUGACGAACAGCAGGGUGUAGAUGUUGCCCUGGAUCUUGUCCUCCCCAUUUGGCUGACUCCU
ensembl:lncRNA